rnacentral:rRNA from 1 species
UGGGGAAUCUUGCGCAAUGGGCGAAAGCCUGACGCAGCGACGCCGCGUGGGUGAUGAAGGCCUUCGGGUUGUAAAGCCCUGUGGGGAGGGACGAAUAACAGCGACCUAAUACGUCGGUGGAUGACGGUACCCCCUUAGCAAGCCCCGGCUAACUCUGUGCCAGCAGCCGCGGUAAUACGGAGGGUGCGAGCGUUGUCCGGAAUCAUUGGGCGUAAAGGGCGCGUAGGUGGCCCGGUCAGUUCGUGGUGAAAGCGCGGGGCUCAACCCUGCGUCGGCCAUGAAUACUGCCGCGGCUGGAGCACUGUAGAGGCAGGCGGAAUUCCGGGUGUAGCGGUGGAAUGCGUAGAGAUCCGGAAGAACACCGGUGGCGAAGGCGGCCUGCUGGGCAGUUGCUGACACUGAGGCGCGACAGCGUGGGGAGCAAAC